GGGCGGCGGAGCGGGGCUGUGGAAGCAGUCGGGCCCAGGAGGUCCCGGUAUUUCCCUGUUACCCCAGCCUAAACUGAGUCCAGGCCAGUAUAUCGCAGUCCAUCCCAGUAUAACCCAGGCCAGGCCAGUAUCAACCAGUUUAGCUCAGUAUCAUGAAAUACCCUGAGCUGGAAGGGAUCCACAAAAAUCAUCAAAGUCCAGCUCCCAGCGCUGCACAGCACCAAAAGUAAAGCCUUGCGCCCGAGUGUCGUCCAAACACUUCUGGAAUUCUUGUCAGGCUUGGUGCUAUGACCACUUCCCUGGGGAGCCUGUUCCAGUGCCCAACCACUCUCUGGGUGAAGAAUCUUGUCCUGGUAUCCAAGCUAAGCCUCCCCUGACUCAGCUUCAGGCCAUUUCCUUGAGUCCUGUCACUGGUUGUGAGAGUGAAGAGAUCUUAUAAUCUUAUAUCUACCCUUCCACUUCCCUUUGUGAAGAUGUUGAAGAGCACAGUGAGGUGUCCCCUCACUCUUCUCUAGACUGAACAAACCAAAUGCUAACUCAGGUUCUUCUAGCACCCUUUCAUUUGGAGAAUACCCCUUCGCUGGAGUGUGGAGACAAGCUUUAACUCUAGGUUUCAGGGAAGAUCUGCAGAAGAAGCAGUCUUACAAUUGCAAUCAAAACCCAACAGCAUAUUAUUAAGCUGUGAGUGUCUACUAAGCUUCUUUCUUAUAAAGAACUUUGCCAUGAUGUUAUGAAAUUUUAUCAAGGAGGACAAGCACGCACUGGGGAGAGAGAUAAUCACAGUUUACAGGUUGUUGGGGUCAUGAAGAUUCUGGCCUCUAUAUUUAAUUUUUCAGUGUGGUUGUCAUAGGAACAAACAUCUAUUAUUUCAUAAUAAACACUGCUGUUACACAUGUUGACAGUUUCAUUUACAAGCAAUAAUAUUUUCUUUCUGUGUACAAGCAAAGAAAGCCUUGAACACAGGAACUAAAAACAGUAUUCUGUAUUCUUAAAUAAGAAUUAAGUAAAGCACAUCAGAGUCACCUCUUCCUCAUGACUCUGUGAUGUUCUC